rnacentral:tRNA from 1 species
AAGGAAUUAGUUAAACUCUAUAACCCUGGACUGUCAGACCAGAAUUGCUGAUUAACAACUCAGUAUUUCUUA